UACGUAGGGUGCGAGCGUUAAUCGGAAUUACUGGGCGUAAAGCGUGCGCAGGCGGUUCGUUGUGUCGGCGGUGAAAGCCCCGGGCUCAACCUGGGAAUGGCCGUUGAAACUGGCGAACUGGAGUGUGGCAGAGGGGGGUGGAAUUCCGCGUGUAGCAGUGAAAUGCGUAGAUAUCUGGAGGAACACCGGUGGCGAAGGCGGCAUCCUGGACCGAGAUUGACGCUGAGGCGCGAAAGCCAGGGGAGCAAACGGG
rnacentral:rRNA from 1 species